rnacentral:rRNA from 1 species
GACGAACGCUGGCGGCGUGCUUAACACAUGCAAGUCGAACGAUGAAGCCGGAGCUUGCUCUGGUGAAUUAGUGGCGAACGGGUGAGUAACACGUGAGUAACCUGCCCUUGACUCUGGGAUAACUGCUAGAAAUGGUAGCUAAUACCGGAUACGACCCUCGGAGGCAUCUCCAGGGGGUGGAAAGAAUUUCGGUCAAGGAUGGACUCGCGGCCUAUCAGCUAGUUGGUGAGGUAACGGCUCACCAAGGCGACGACGGGUAGCCGGCCUGAGAGGGUGACCGGCCACACUGGGACUGAGACACGGCCCAGACUCCUACGGGAGGCAGCAGUCGGGAAUAUUGCUCAAUGGGCGCAAGCCUGAUGCAGCAACGCCGCGUGAGGGAUGACGGCCUUCGGGUUGUAAGCCUCUUUUAGUAGGGAAGAAGCGAAAGUGACGGUACCUGCAGAAAAAGCACCGGCUAACUACGUGCCAGCCGCCGCAGUAA